rnacentral:rRNA from 1 species
AACGAACGCUGGCGGCAUGCCUAACACAUGCAAGUCGAACGAGACCUUCGGGUCUAGUGGCGCACGGGUGCGUAACGCGUGGGAACCUGCCCUUAGGUUCGGAAUAACUCCCCGAAAGGGGUGCUAAUACCGGAUAAUGUCUUCGGACCAAAGAUUUAUCGCCUUUGGAUGGGCCCGCGUUGGAUUAGCUAGUUGGUAGGGUAAAAGCCUACCAAGGCGACGAUCCAUAGCUGGUCUGAGAGGAUGAUCAGCCACACUGGGACUGAGACACGGCCCCGACUCCUACGGGAGGGAGCAGUGGGGAAUAUUGGACAAUGGGCCAAAGCCUGAUACAGCCAUGCCGGGUGAGUGGUGAAGGCCUUAGGGUUGUAAAGCUCUUUUACCCGGGAUGAUAAUGACAGUACCGGGAGAAUAAGCUCCGGCUAACUCCGUG